GACGAACGCUGGCGGCGUGCCUAAUACAUGCCAGUUGAGCGCUGAAGGUUGGUACUUGUACCAACUGGAUGAGCAGCGAACGGGUGAGUAACGCGUGGGGAAUCUGCCUUUGAGCGGGGGACAACAUUUGGAAACGAAUGCUAAUACCGCAUAAAAACUUUAAACACAAGUUUUAAGUUUGAAAGAUGCAAUUGCAUCACUCAAAGAUGAUCCCGCGUUGUAUUAGCUAGUUGGUGAGGUAAAGGCUCACCAAGGCGAUGAUACAUAGCCGACCUGAGAGGGUGAUCGGCCACAUUGGGACUGAGACACGGCCCAAACUCCUACGGGAGGCAGCAGUAGGGAAUCUUCGGCAAUGGACGAAAUUCUGACCGAGCAACGCCGCGUGAGUGAAGAAGGUUUUCGGAUCGUAAAACUCUGUUGGUAGAGAAGAACGUUGGUGAGAGUGGAAAGCUCAUCAAGUGACGGUAACUACCCAGAAAGGGACGGCUAACUACGUG
rnacentral:rRNA from 1 species